CUCCUAUCAAUAUGUGCUCACCACUUUCUUUAUACUCUACCAAAAAAAACUUCUUAGCUUCCGUUAUGCGCUCACUCACAUUACAUUAGCUCAGCUGCUUGCGAUGCGCAUUGGUGUACGGAAAACGCAUUGCGGAAAAUUCCCUGCGUUAUAUUAGUAUACACGAUGCGUUGCUUUAAUUUCGUGCAACAUCUAACGACAGCCACAACAACAAAAACAACAUAACUACAAACAAUGAUGCUGCAUUAGCAAUGAUUUUUACUGUGACAAAGAGCCAAAGUGUGAAGAGGAUUGAGACGAACGACGAUUUUACAGCUACAUCGUUUGGGUUGCUUUGAGUAUGAUGACGGCGACUGCGACCAGCACGACAACAAUGGCAGCGACGACGAUGACUGAGACUACCACGACUACGACGAUGACGACGACGACGACGACGACGACGACGACGACGACGACGACAACGACAAUGCAGACGACACAAGCAGAGGCAAAAUAAUUUCCCAGCAGUUUUCGCGUAGCUUUUCUCACGUCCAAACGUGUUGCGGGUGAAAUGGAAUCGAAAAUUCAGAAAUAUUAUGCUUGAAUUACUAUAUUUAAAGUGAACUGUUAAAUAUUUAAUUAAAUAAGAAAAAAAUAUUAAAAGUUAUAAAAACUAAUUAGUACAAGUUUUAUUAAUUCUCAAAUCCUUAGAAAAUAAAUGUAAAGUGUAAAUGUAUGUAAAAUUUAAUCACAAACGAGUGAAAUUUGAAAUGUGUUUAAAAGGCAAAUGAAACAUGUUGCUUUAAAUAAUGUUCUUCAUCGUAGACAAAUAAAAUGAAAUGUUUGCUAAAAAUCUUAAAUAUUCAAUUAAAAUCCGAAAGAAAGAAAUAAAAUAAAGCUGCUGUGAAAAGUGCUUAAGAGAAAGUGCAUUGCGUUGAGUCGUUAAGUAACGCGCCAAAAUGUGCCACAAGUGAAAUCUGCAAUGAGCUGAAAAAAAAACACAAACACACCCACUCUAAGAGAAGAACGAAAAAGAAACUACACAAAAUUAAAACAAUAGAAAAGUGCAAUAACAAAAUGAGCAUAGAUUCGAAUUAAAAUUUAAACAGCGCGAAUAACAGAAUUUGUUUUGUCUAUAAAGAUGUGCAACAACACUACCUAAAGCAAAACGACAACCAAAGGAAAAAGAAAAAAAAAAAA